rnacentral:miRNA from 2 species
UUCCAAGCGGGCCACUUAAGCAUU